rnacentral:rRNA from 1 species
UACGUAGGGUGCGAGCGUUGUCCGGAAUUACUGGGCGUAAAGAGCUCGUAGGUGGUUUUGUCGCGUUGUUCGUGAAAACUCACAACUCAAUUGUGGGCGUGCGGGCGAUACGGGCAGACUGGAGUACUGCAGGGGAGACUGGAAUUCCUGGUGUAGCGGUGAAAUGCGCAGAUAUCAGGAGGAACACCGGUGGCGAAGGCGGUUCUCUGGGACUAUCAUCGCGCUG